UGAAGGUUGGUAAUGUACCGGUUGGUUUUCAACCAUUUAGCAUUAAACGUUAUAUCAACGUUGAUUCAACGUUGAAACAACAACUAUCAUUAUUUCAACCAUAUUUCAACGUUGAAGGUCGGUCAUGUGCCGGCUGGGUGACGAAUGUGAAGCAUCAGGGGGGAUUUAAAAGUGGGUAUACGCAAUACUGACUGAAAAAUAAGUGGGUAUACGCGGUGUACCCUGGACUACACCUCUGCAUGAAACUCACUUUUACUCUAAUAUAUAUUUUAAUUUUCUGAUUAAAAGGUCCUUUGAUUCAUUACUGAAAAUUUAUAAUUGGUUAAAACUUCAAAUCAAAUGUUUAUAUUUGUGUUUUGCAGCUGUAAACAUUGCAUCACAGAUUAAUUUUUGAGCUUGUUUUACAAUAUAUAAAAGUAUAAUAUAUACAAAUUUUCUUGCAUGAUUUUCAUUCCUCUACAAUUCUCAGUUUCUGCCACCGUUUCCCAUAUCCCAAGAACUAAUCGUGUUUUUUCGAGUUUUAGCCUUGCUUUGAGAAAUUCAUUAAGGGCAAAUGAAAGGAAGAAAAAUGUCAAUCUCAUUUUUGAUGAUGACACGACCUGAAUGAAUGUUCUCUUUAUUGUAGUGACAGGCUGUUAUUUGCCAUACAUCCAAAAUAUAAACACCAACAUUCGAAAAAGCCCAUCGCAGAAUUCUGUCCAGCCGAAGAGAAUACCAGUCACUACCAAACACAUCCUAAUACAAAACACAGAGGGACAAUUUAUAUACAUUUACAAGUAUGCAUAAAGUUACAACCAUUACGAAGAUACUUUUUUGUGUUUCCUUCUUGCCUUAUAGCCAGUGUUUACAGUUUUGAUGAUAAAAGUAGUUGCUGGUGCUCGCUGUAAUAAAUCUACAACAGUUUUGCGGAUCCUCAACACUUUGUGGGUGAAGUAAUCCAGAGGGUAUGUGGUUAAGUGUGAUCCCAGAUUUAAGACAAAAACAGUGUGAGUUACUCCAGCCAGAUCCUUAAUCUCAUUACUGAAGUAGUGCAGAUUAGCAACUUCAGUUUUCCGACACCACAGAGGAAUACUGUUAGUAAAUUAUAAUCAUACCAAACUAAAGUAGCCUACAAACAUGUAAGACAUUUGAUUUUUGUAUUUGUUCUCACUUGGUACAGCUUUCAAAAGAUCUCAAAACACUGUUUCAUGGUAGAAUCUCCCAUCAUGUAGAUGUGUUUGUCUUUCAGGCAUUGUGUUGUUUUUUGGGGAGUAAAUUGACGAGUUUUACACACAAACGAUGUCCACACAUCAUUCAGGUAAAAGCCAGCUGGAACUAGUGAGUGCAAACCAGGACGACAUUUCUCUCUUACAUCUGCAUAAUGUAGUAAAACAGUGACUUAGUCAAAUUGUAAUUUAAAUUACAUUAAAUGACAUUUUACAAAUCAUAUAUCAAAGACCAACACACCAAUUCCAGCACUUUCAAUUGAGGGAAGAAUGUUGAGAAGGCUUUUUUGCCCCUUGAUACCUUUGUUGGUUUGGUGCCAUGGCAAAGAAUAUAUUAAAAUAGUCUCGCAAUUGUUUUAUCACAUUACACACAAGAAACUAGUUAAUAACCAGCAGGUGAGGUGAAGGAGUUUGUGGUUGUAACACAUCUCCAUAAAAUGGAAGGAAGGAGUCGGGAACCGGCAGACAUUUUAAACAUUUAAUACAAAUAAUAAGAGCCGGCGGCCCCUUACGGACGACCGCCGGCGAACAAAACAUAAAUAUAAAACACAAGACCAUAAAUACAAACUUAACAUAACUUCGGGCCCGCUCCUCUCUCUUCGACGGUCCGGUCGCUCGUUCCUUUUAUAUGCUCCCAUCUCCUACGUGAUUCAAGCCCUGUGUGCGCACAGCUGGCGUUUAUUCACAAUUACUCACCGGACUCGAACCACGGUCUCGCCCCGCCUACUCUACUACAGUGGUGUUGUGAAGUUUUGCAAAGUGCUGAAACAAAAGACUGUAUGGAGGUUGUUUCUCCUUUUCUUUACACAAGACCAGAUGACCUACAGAGGAUGAAGAGCCGGCAGUUGAGUCCUUAAUAAACUAAAUUAUGAAGUAUAUGAAACACAUAGUAAGAUGAUGUGGGAAUAUGUCUUGACUAGUGGUGAUUGAUCUUUUUUUUACAAUUACUAUGUUCUGCAGCUUAGGCUUUUUUGAAAACAUGCAUGGCAAUUUCCAGUAUAUGAGCAGUUUCUCAACUCAACAAGAAACACAACAUUCCCAGACACAGAACAGUAAACAGCACCUUAAGACACGAUCUUUCUCUGUGAACGGUGAAAAACACUGUCGCUUUUCUUUUGGGGCGUACAUGAGAGUACUUGGGGGAAACUCUGGCAGGGAUUGGAAGUGCAGACUCCGGCAGUUCCAAUGGCUCCAGGGGUUCAAACGAGUCCGCAUCAGAGUCCGAAGAACCCUCGUAAUCAAGUGAAGUGAAUGUCCAGAGCAUCCUCUCACAGAAAGCCCAUAAAUCCUCACAAAGGGGCAAGUGGGCCCUCAACACAACAUCUCCCCACUCAUUAGCAGAGCCAGUGAGCCAUGCGAGGAUAAAAGCCACUCUAGACCCUUCUGUUGGGAAUCGAUUACUCUGUUGGUGCAUCCUGGCCAUACAUAAGGACAAGAAAAGAUGGCAAGAAUGGGAUUCACCACCAAAUCUCCCCGGUUCGAUGAGGUCAGAUUCAAGUGGGUCGCCCGGGCAUUUGAAGGAGGGCUGAAUGGAGGGAAUCUGACCUCGCUGACUCCAUAUAGGUCAGACAUUUCUGUCAGGAAUCACUCAGGAGUCAAGUGCAGGGUUCAGACAAUUUUUGAAGUUCACAGACAAACCCCGGAGGAUCCACUGGAGUGGAGAGAUGUAGUGGGACAAGAGCAAAAUAUGCACAACACAGAUAAUCAUCCACACCACAUAUAAAUAACACGUACCCAUACAACUUCGUCAGGUCUAGUUUUUUCUAUGUUAAAGAGAUGCUUACCUCUGAGUCCCGUGGAUUUUACCUAUUAUUUGUGCCUGUGGAUGUUACCUUUUCACCUGUUCCUUGUUUUCCAUGGAUGUUUUUCCUGUUCCAAGUUUCUCUGGAUGUUUAUCAGUUACUGUUUACACAAUGGCGCAAAAUUGGGAUAUGUAGUAUAUGCGGUGCAUUUAAAUAAAAGGUUAUAAAUAAUAAUAAAAAUAUAACGAAAAAACAUUAUCUAAAACGUUCUAGUCUCACUUUUGUCUAGCAUUUUAAACAAGUUCAAUAAAUAUAAAUCAAGUUAUUGUGUCAACCAAUCCCUCUUUGACAGUGACCAAAUGGAUCGAGCAAAGAAACUUUCCAAAGCACAGAACAGAACUGUUCCACCCUGCUGGUCGAUGAUGCUGCCCAGGUAGGUAAAGGACUGUACUUCCUGCAGGACAUCUGUUCAGUGUGAUUGGGUUGAUGUUACUGACGUUGGGCUUAAGGAUCUCGGUCUUCUCUUUGUGGCAUUCAACACACUGGUCUCCUCUUGCAUCUGCUGCUAGCUGUGGGAGAGGAUUGCAAGGUCUAGGUCAUCAAGUUGAACCUACAAGGUCCACUGAAUCCCAUUCCUGCUUCAUGAUCCAGUCGAUGUCAAUGAGGAAGAGGAACGGGGAUAACAAGCAUCCCUGUCAGACUCCAGUGUUCACCCGGAAGUUGGUGGUGAGCUAUCAAACGCCUUCUCGUAAUCGACGAAGUUGAUGUACAAUGAUGCGUUCCACUCUAAAGACUUCUUAAGUAUGAUGCGCAGCGUUGCAAUCUGGUCUGUGUAUGAUCCAUUCUACAGGAAGCCAGCUUGCUCAUCUCUUAGUUGUGAAUUGACGGCGUCCUUCAUCCGCUCAAGGAGGAUCCGAUUGAAGACCUUGCCUGGCACUGACAGGAGUGUGAGAAUUCUGUUGUUGUUACAGUUGCUGAGGUAACCUUUCUAAGUUAGAUAACCCUCCUUCCAGUCAGUCCGUACCUCUUCCUUCUACCAGAACUUCUUGAAGAGUGGGUACAGCAUUUCCACUGAUGAGUUCAGGUCUGCUUUCAGUGCCUCUGCUGAUAUGUCAUCAGGUCCAGCAGCCUUCCAGUUCUUCAGCAAGGUGAUUGCUUUUCUGAUCUCUUCUCUGAAAGUCGGCUUGUCGGCUUGUCACAGCUGAUGGGGAGAUCUUCGUCGGCUGGGUUAAUAUCAUGUUGAAUUUGGUGGUGCUGGUCUCUUCAGGAGUCCCUCAAGGUGUUUAGCCCAUCUAUUCAUAUUCUGCGCUAUUCCUGUGAUGGUCUUUACCUCCUUGUCCUUGACAGGUCAUUUUGACUUCCUAGACAGUUUCUUUGUCGUGUCGUACAGCUGUUUCAUGUUGCUGUUGUGUGCUGGCUGCUCCGCCUCAUCUGCCAGUCCAUCUAUGUAGUCUUUCUUGUCCUUCCUAAUAAUCUUUUUAACUGCUCUAUGGGCUUCUGCUAAUAUAACUUGGGUCUUGUUUUUUGCUGCCCAAGUCCUGCUGUUGUUUAUUGUUGUUUAAGAUGCAAGCUGUGCAGUCAGGCCCAUGUUCUUUAUAUAACGCGAGCAAAUGUGUCUUCUGCAAACAACGUGCAGCACAGACCACCAGAGAGAUUGCGUGUGGACAGUGAAACAGCGUAAUGAUUGACAGGAUGACAGAGACAAGAGCGCAAAAUAACUUUUGAUGAUAAAAAAAAUAUUUCUGCGUUCAAUGUAAAUUAGUUUGUCUUUGUUUUACUCAAAUGAUGUUGUGUUUUCAUAAAAUGUGAAAUACAAACUUAAAAUGUUUUAAGGCAAGGGGAAAAUCCAAAGAUUUUUUAUUUAUUUGCAAUAUAAUGUCUUUUAUCCAUCUUAUUUAGUUUUUCAAUAAAAGUUGAAUUAUAAAUGCACAGUAAGGUAUGUUUAACAAAGGUUAUUUUAUUGUUGUGUUUUUAUUAAAUAUAACUGAACCACAAACUAAGCGCGAGUAUGUCAUGUGAAACAUCUUAUUUGUCUUAUUCUGAUUACAAUAAAUAACGUUUUUAAAACUUUUUGUUGAAGGAAGUGAAUAAUAUAAAUGUAAAACUUUGAAGAUCCUCACCUGCACAUCUCUAAUGGACUACAACUCGAUUUAUAUUUGGGAUAUUUAAAGAAGUUUUAAUUUUUAAAACUGAACAAGCUUUUUUGUUAAAGGAUGUGUCGAGCAAGGCGGGACGAGAGCCACGAGGGAAUGAUGCGGUGCCGGUGAUACGAGUGAUAAUGAGUGUCAGCUGCACGUUGGUCCGGCUCUGUAUCUCUCGCGAUGGAGAUCAGAAGCAUAAUAGGACGAACGGAGAGUGUACGACGAAAGAGGACCGGGCCCGGACAUAUGUUUUAAGUUUGUAUUUAUGUUCUUGUGGUCAGCAGUCGACCUGGAGGUGGCUGCCGGUCUUUUACUUCCAUGUUAUUGUUUGUUUAUUUUGAUUAAACUUUAUUGAAUGUU